GGUAAUGUGGCUUUGGAUAAUCUGCAGAUAAAAGAAAAUGCUCUGAGUGAGUUGGAUGUUCCUUUCAAAGUCAAGGCUGGCCAAAUUGCAGUGUGGUAUGGAGGAUAUGCCUUGAUAAAUUAACUUUGAAGAUUCCUUGGAAAAACCUUUAUGGAGAAGCAGUCGUUGCCACCCUAGAAGGAUUAUACCUGCUUGUGGUCCC